UUUGACGUACAUUUGUUAAGUUGUUUUUGAUAAUGGAAAAUUUUUUGACAAAGUUUUUUGCAUACGGAUGGUGUGAUCAGCACUGUCAACUCAUAAGGGUUACGGCUGCUGUUUAUUUGCCACAAUAAUAGCAUAGCGUGAGUUCUUGGAGAAUGUGAAUUUCUUGGAGUAUAUCUUAUUUUAGAAUACAAUGAUGCACCUGAGGAGGAAUGCUUAGAGCAUUCGAAACGUAGUGCAAUUUUGAUUACUUAAAUUUUUCUGAGUGUUUACUGCUGCUGACCUAAACAUGGCCCAAAAUUAUU